AAUCUCCUACGGGGGGCAGCAGUCGAGAAUCAUCCACAAUGGGGGAAACCCUGAUGGUGCGACGCCGCGUGGGGGAAUGAAGGACUUCGGAUUGUAAACCCCUGUCAGGUGGGAGCAAAUUAAAAAGAUAGUACCACAAGAGGAAGAGACGGCUAACUCUGUGCCAGCAGCCGCGGUAAUACAGAGGUCUCAAGCGUUGUUCGGAAUCACUGGGCGUAAAGCGUGCGUAGGCUGUUUCGUGAGUCGUGUGUGAAAGGCGCGGGCUCAACCCGCGGCCGGCACUUGAUACUGCGAGACUAGAGUAG
rnacentral:rRNA from 1 species